CGACGUAGGUAACCUGCCUUGUAGCGGGGGGAUAACUAUUGGAAACGAUAGCUAAUACCGCAUAACAAUGAAUGACACAUGUCAUUUAUUUGAAAGGGGCAAUUGCUCCACUACAAGAUGGACCUGCGUUGUAUUAGCUAGUAGGUGAGGUAACGGCUCACCUAGGCGACGAUACAUAGCCGACCUGAGAGGGUGAUCGGCCACACUGGGACUGAGACACGGCCCAG
rnacentral:rRNA from 1 species